AUCAUCCCCGGCCUCAAGUAAAACGCCUUCUUGCUAUUUGUCAACAAACACAGAGAGCGUGAAAGAUGGUGUUGUUAUCAAGCAUACUUAGCCGGAAUCACAGCCAUCAUCCUCCGAUGACAAAACGACCAGACAGGUUCAAGUGAAAGAUGGUGUUGUUAUCAAGAACACUUCACCGGCUCGAUCACAUGAUCCUUCAAAUCAGCCGCAAUGUCAUCAUUAGUCACAGUGUCAUCAUGUUGAGUCGAGAUGAGAACGGUGUGAAAGCGUUGAAGCUCGUGUUCUGUUCCUCAGAGAUAAGCUUCUCUAUCGCCUUUCUAGGAUAAAAAUAUUGUAGUUUCGCUUGCAUCUCUUUUUUCAGCUACAGAUUGUUGUUGUGUAGGAUACAGGUGCUCCCAAAAUGGCAAACAGAAAAUUUAAACACAAUCUGAAGCAAGCCUACUUAUUAUGUUCGAUUUCACAUAGAUUGUUUCAUAUACUUACAACCUGUUUUGUAAAAUCUGCAGGGAAUCAGAAGAUUAUAGAUGAGGAAAACGCCAAGAUACUGCCAAGUCACAGGCUUCGUCGAGUUCAUUAGCUCAGGAUAAUGCCAAGGAAAUUUUUAUCUGAUGGAUAGCUGAUCAAAUGCUGAUGGAGCUUACCACAGGGAAAAAUCAUGAAACAUUAACUCCAUUCUCCUUCUGUUUUUCCUACUCAGGACUUGGAACGGCACGAACUGGAAUGUGUCCAACACCUUCGUAUAAUCUCUUGAAAACAGAAGGAAUGAUAUUGACAUCAAUGAAUUAUAUGUAAGACUUGAGCCAAACGAAGCCAUUUUUCUUCCUUCUGAGUAUUUUUCUACCGAGAAUACAAAGAAUGAACUCUGAGUUGAUUAUAACAUGAGAAGAACUCUGUCAUUCUCAAACCUUGUCACGAACUUCAUUAUCAGAAUAUACAUGGAGUUAUAGAUCAUCACUAAUCCUUUUCAUUGAGAAACCAUUGAUUAACGAUAUUGAGUAACAAUAGCACUGUUGAAUGUUUCAUAUGUUAUAGAUCAAUGUCUUUCAAAGAAAAAACUUCGAUUGAUUCAUGUUAUUACGUUCAAAUAUUGAUUUAUCGUUAUAUG